GGGCAGGAUAGGUGAAGUAGGCCCACCCGCACGCGGGUGGGCCUACUUCACUGUCCCUUAUUCGCACCUGCGGUGCUCAACGGAAAUUCUGCUCUGCGAGGCC
rfam:Xanthomonas fragariae strain PD5205 genome assembly, chromosome: 1